rnacentral:rRNA from 1 species
UGGGGAAUCUUGCACAAUGGGGGAAACCCUGAUGCAGCGACGCCGCGUGAACGAUGAAGCCCUUCGGGGUGUAAAGUUCUUUCGACAGGAACGAUAAUGACGGUACCUGGAGAAGAAGCUGCGGCUAACUACGUGCCAGCAGCCGCGGUAAUACGGAGGGUGCGAGCGUUAUCCGGAUUUACUGGGUUUCAAGGGUGCGUAGGUGGGCUUAUAAGUCAGUGGUGAAAUCUCCGAGCUUAACUUGGAAACUGCCGUUGAUACUAUAGGUCUUGAAUUAUCUGGAGGUAAGCGGAAUAUGUCAUGUAGCGGUGAAAUGCUUAGAUAUGACAUAGAACACCAAUUGCGAAGGCAGCUUACUACAUAUAAAUUGACGCUGAGGCACGAAAGCGUGGGGAUCAAACAG